rnacentral:rRNA from 1 species
AGCGAAAGCGAUAAGUCAUCCACCUGGGGAGUACGACCGCAAGGUUGAAACUCAAAGGAAUUGACGGGGGCCCGCACAAGCGGAGGAACAUGUGGUUUAAUUCGAUGAUACGCGAGGAACCUUACCCGGGCUCGAACGGCAAAGGAAGGCGCAAGAGAUUGCAACGCCCUUCGGGGUCUUUGUCGAGGUGCUGCAUGGUUGUCGUCAGCUCGUGUCGUGAGAUGUUGGCUCAAGUGCCAUAACGAGCGCAACCCUUGCCGCCAGUUACCAUCAAGUUAUGUUGGGGACUCUGGCGGGACUGCCACCGUAAGGUGUGAGGAAGGCGGGGAUGACGUCAAAUCAGCACGGCCCUUACGUCCGGGGCGACACACGUGUUACAGUGACAGCUACAGAGGGAAGCCACCCGGCGACGGGGCGCAGAUCUCGAAAAGCUGCCUCAGUUCGGACUGGAGUCUGCAACCCGACUCCACGAAGCUGGAUUCGCUAGUAAUCGCGCAUCAGCCAUGGCGCGGUGAAUACGUUCCCGGGCCUUGUACACACCGCCCGUCAAGCCAUGAAAGCCGGGGGCGCCUGAAGUCCGCGACCGCGAGGAGCGGCCUAGGGCGAAACUGGUAAUUGGGGCUAAGUCGUAACAAGGU